rnacentral:rRNA from 1 species
AUAACAUUUGGAAACAGAUGCUAAUACCGCAUAAACCUAACACCGCAUGGUGUAGGGUUGAAAGAUGGUUUCGGCUAUCACUUUAGGAUGGACCCGCGGUGCAUUAGUUAGUUGGUGAGGUAAAGGCUCACCAAGACCGUGAUGCAUAGCCGAUCUGAGAGGGUAAUCGGCCACACUGGGACUGAGACACGGCCCAGACUCCUACGGGAGGCAGCAGUAGGGAAUCUUCCACAAUGGACGAAAGUCUGAUGGAGCAACGCCGCGUGAGUGAAGAAGGUUUUCGGAUCGUAAAACUCUGUUGUUGGAGAAGAAUGUAUCUGAUAGUAACUGAUCAGGUAGUGACGGUAUCCAACCAGAAAGCCACGGCUAACUACGUG